AGUCAAGAGGUUUUGCCAUCAGAACGUCAAGAUACAUUACCCACAGCCAGUCAAGAGGUUUGCUCACCGGCAGGUCAAGAUACAUCACCCACAGCUAGUCAAGAGGUUUGGCCAUCAGCACAUCAAGAUACAUCCCCUACAGCCAGUCAACAGGUUUGCUCAUCAAAACGUCAAGAUACAUCACACACAGCCAGUCAGGAGGUGAACCUUAGGAAAUACACUGCAACAUUAAGCCAGGUGAUAAACUUGAAACCAAACAAGAUACAAUGGCUGUGUAGCCACCUGGGUCAUACAACGAGAGUGCGCUUGGACCACUACAGGCAAAUGUCUGGCUUCAUUGAAAGAGUCAAAAUCAGCAAAGUAUUGCAGAUGUAAGACAUUACAGAAAAGUUUGUAGGAAAGAGUCUUGAUGAAAUUGGGAGCAUUCCUUUUGAAGAGACAUGUGGUAAUGAAAAUGGAGCAGAAGGUCAAGCAGAAGUCGAUGCUGAGCACACAAGUCUUGAAGGUCAAGCAGAAGUCGAUGCUGAGCACACAAGUCUUGAUGCCCCAGAUGGC